rnacentral:misc_RNA from 1 species
CAACCCUCGGGCCCCCGUUUGGCCCGGUGUUGGGGUGCUACAGGUCCUUCGGGACCUGUAGGCCCUCAAAACCAGUGGCGGGCUCGCCAUGGCUUCCGAGCGCAGUAGUUGUCUCCUCGCUCAGGUGGUCUGGCGUGCCUCGGCCGUUAAACACCCGCUGUAUACACAGAA